rnacentral:rRNA from 1 species
UACGAAGGGUGCAAGCGUUAAUCGGAAUUACUGGGCGUAAAGGGUGCGUAGGCGGCUUUUUAAGUCGGAUGUGAAAUCCCCGGGCUCAACCUGGGAAUGGCAUCCGAUACUGGGGAGCUAGAGUUUGGGAGAGGGUGGUGGAAUUCCCGGUGUAGCGGUGAAAUGCGUAGAGAUCGGGAGGAACAUCAGUGGCGAAGGCGGCCACCUGGCCUAAAACUGACGCUGAGGCACGAAAGCGUGGGGAGCAAACAGG